AGUUGUCUGCACUAUUAAUGGUGGGAUUAUACCGUGUUCUACUAUAAAAAGGGAUAAGACAACAGUCUUAGUAAGUUUUAAGCAAGUUUCCUCAAAUUCUCUGAAACGCCUUUAUAUUCUCGAGCUCUCUCUCUCUCCUAUUGAGCCUCUGAUUUUUCAGAGUUAUCUAAUCUCCUCUCUCAUUUGACCAUCGGAGAAUUUUUUUUGCAAAUGCACGGCACC
rnacentral:lncRNA from 1 species